rnacentral:rRNA from 1 species
GAAGCACUGGUGGACUUCAUACAAGUGAGAAUGCCGGAAUGAGUAGCGAGAAUUAUGUGAGAAUCAUAAUGGCCGAAAGUCUAAGGUUUCAGAAGGAAGGUUCGUCCGCUUCUGGUAAGCCGGGAGCUAAGGUAAGGCCGAAAGGCGUAGCCGAUGCACAUACGGUAGAAAUUCCGUAGCCUCCAUCCAUUUAAGCACAGGGACACUUUUGAAGGGCUUAGCCGAGCGUUGGUUGCCUCGGUCGUAAGGGACUGCGAA